CCUUUGAAGUUCCAGACUGUCCUUCAACCUCCUCUUUGCUCUAGACAAAUACACAGCAUUUAAGGAACGGGCCACAGCUUGGACACUGUUGUAAAUCCUGUAGCUGUUUAGAGAUAAGAGUCUUUCCAGAUGGGCUUGGGGCAGCAUUUCCAGUUCCUCUCUUUCUUGGCAUCUUGCCCAGCUUUUCACUGACAAUGUAUGCAAUAUAUAGGAACAAGUAAAAGCUUCCUCCCAAAACUGCUGAAGUGCAAAGAAAAAGGCAUCAAUAUCAUCAUAUUUGGCCCAUUUAUUCAGCCCAAUAGAGAAAGAAAGAAUGCUGUGGAAAUGUUUGAAAUCUAAACCACUGUUGAUUAACUCAAUUAAGUCUACACUCAAAUCCCACAUAGAUGUUGUGAUCAAGACUUUCCCCACAGUGGGUUUGACCAGCUUGUCAAAUAUUAUUUCAGCAACUUGCAUUCCCUUCCAGAAAUAAGUAGAUUCUACAUAAUAUAAGAAUACUUGGACUUGUCGCCACUUUUCUGAUGGAGGAACUUUGACCGUCACACGGUUUGUAUUGAUUUGUGGAAUGCUUAGUGAGAUAGCAACACAAAUGCCACUCUCUACAAACAUAGGUGUCAAUGUCUUCAUGAACGUCUCUCCAUUGUCAGUGUCUGGAGCAAUGAGACCAAUGAACGUCCAUCUGAAGUGAUGGAGCAGCUUGACAAUUGGUGGGUAAACAGCCUCUUCUUUGGGGACCAUCCGAUAUAAAAAAGGGAACUGCCUCUUGUCAUUCAGAGCAUGUGAGCCAAAGGCAUAGUUGACCUGGAAAGAAAAGAUCGACUGUUGGCUUGCAUUGUUUGGGAUCAAAGACGAAAUAAUUCAUACCCCAAACAACAUAUAUUUGCUUUGUAAAAACACGUGUGUUGUUGGUUUUUUGCCCAGACUUUUCUUGACAUAUAAGACUGGAUUCCAUUUUUAUUUUUAUGAAUCCCACAGUUCCUGUUUUCAUUUUAAAAAAUACGCCUUUAUCCUUUUAUUUUAAUGCUUUAUACUGUAGAUUUGUUUCAACAAUUUUGUUACUGUUUUAGGUUGUGCACUACUAAAAGGUUUUCUUAAUAAUUGAGUGGGUUAUGAAUGUUUUCAAUUAAUAAACAAAUUUCACGGUUUCACUCAGAGGAAACUUCCCGCUUUAUCCAAUUUUUAGUGGUAUGGUAACUAGUAUGCGGGAAGUUCCCUUCCUUCUCAUUUUAUAUGCACAGGCAUACAAACACACAAACACAGGAAUCAGCAUUUGACACAAAUGGAAGGGAGAAAGGACAGGUAAUAUCAACAAGAGCACAGCAAUUCAUCUGACCAUUCCUUAUCUCCUUUCUUCAGUGCCUUGACAUCCAAUGUCUUCCUCAUUCUGAGCUGACAAUGUGCCAAAUUUUCAUGCCUGAGAAGCUCAGCCAGAUAAUCCCUCCAUCUCCAUUCUUACCUGUGGCAUUUUAUAGAUGCUCAACAUGCUUGAAAUCUGGAUGGAGUUCUCAGAGUCAGAGUCAGCCCCUUCAAGAACAGCAAUCAAGUUAUUCUGUCCUCCGCAGUUGUAGUUUGGAACAUUCGCCUGUCUAGAAGAGACCAGGUCUACCAAAGCUUCAUACGUCACCCUUCCAUGAAAAAAGGUCUCAUAGUUAUUGUAGCCCAGAGUGAUGUUGGGCAAGACCCUGGGAUUCUGGUUAAUCUCUUGAAUGGCAAAGAAGAAGGACAGGGGCAGCCAGUACCUUGUUCCUCCUUUGCUGAAAAAAAUGUAAAUAUCACAUCCUAUCCUCCAGCAUUCGGUGACAAGCUUCUAAGGAUAAUAUAAAAUCCUGGAUUCAAUUUCUAGAAUUUAAUCACCCUAACACUGAUCCAAAUUCGGACGUUUGACAGCAAAUUCCCAAUUAAUGAUGCAUGAGUGUUGGGAAAGCCUUGUUCAGUCAAUACUCAUUAUCCUAUGGAAAACAAAACUAAAGCAGAAUGAAUAUCUCAUGAUGGAUUAGACAUGCAUAGACUUUCAAAGAACAAUAGGAGUUUAAAGGUUUUUAAAGACUCAUUAAAUGACACAGAACAUCUAUUGCUGUCUCUCCUCCGCCUUCCCCCAGAUCCCUUCCAAGCCUGUUAUAUUUAUAAUUAAUUUUAUUGAUUUGUUUUAAAAAAGAAGUACAAACAUUUUUAAAAAAAGAAAAUGAAGAAUUAAAAAUUUAAAUACAAAAGCAUCACAGCCUGGAAGGCCCAAAGUACACAGAUACACCAAGCUCCAAAAUGAUGAUAAGUAAAAAUCAAUAUUGAAUGGAGCAGCAGUAACCCCAUCCCCAUAAAAUGACUUACUGCUUAAAGCUGGUAGAGGGAGACUCAGUGAAGUGAUGUGGAUUAAAUAUAGCAAAUCUAGCAGAGAUGACUCCACUAAUGAGGUGGUCUCCUGGCCUGUAAUAAAUGAAUGGCUCUAUCCAAUCUCUCUCCAAAGUCAAGGGGCAUUUUGCCUUCACUCCACAGUCUGCAUGAGGCAGGAAGAUCAGGAGAAGCAGUACCAUUCUUUGCCUGCUUGGAACACCUUCCUUGUCUGUGACUGCUCCUCUGAACUAGAAGAUAAUUAGAUAAUGUGGAUGGAAUCCAACCAAGGCUUGAUAUCUAGAAGGGAUAGAAGUCAGCCUUGCACUCUUGUAUUGCAACUCACCUCUCCUAAAUCUGAACCCCAAUUCUGAGUGGUACAGAAGGCCUUUAUGUACCAAUCCAUCCCUGCUCUGAUGAAAUAUGUUAAUAACUUCAUGUUGUUGUCAGUUCUGAUAUCUCCUUGAUUGGACUCAAAGGUGAUCUUUGGACAAAUCUCCGGAGCUUUGUUGAAAAGGUGAUGAAAGAAAAACCCCUCUGUGAUUUUGAUAAUUACAACGGGAAGAAGCACAGACUCUGAAAUGUCCUGAAUUAUUUACGUGGCUUCAUGCGCAGGUGCAGGCUGGAGAAAAACAUGUUUGCAAAAACUCCCACAUGUGUCUUCAAACUCUGAGAGGCAUAACAGAAUGGGCAACUAAAAAGUCUAACUUUGGUGAAAGAAGCUCAUUCUACACCCUCCAACAUUCCUCUGAUGUAAAUAGGGAGGCACAUCUUUUGGUGCUGUGCUCUCGCGGGAGCCUGCUGACUUGCGCGAGAUUGUGGCACCACUGCAAGCUUGAGCAGGGUCAUGUCUGGGAUAUGGAAGGCUGAAGGUUUAGAAGGGUCGUGCUUCUGUAUCACAAGGGCUGACAGGGAAGUGCCGGGCCAUUGCAGGUCAAGAAGAGGCUGGGGAGGCAGCGAGGUCAUCCUGGCUUGACUACUUCAACUCAAGAAGUUGCAGGAAACUUAGAUCCAGCCCCACCUUUCCCCUCUAGCUUCUCACUCUGGAGCCCUUCCCAACAGACGGAGACUGCGACAUGGGGAUGAGCUCCUCCCCUGGGUCUGUCUGUCAACAUGUGGGACUCUUCUAGAUCGAGGUGUGAGAGGAGGAGAGCCAGCAGGACUGACACUGUUCUGCUGUGGGAUGGCAGGUGUACCCCCCGAUUCCUCACUGUCUGUGUCUCUGCUCACAUUGAGACACUCAGCCUCCAGCCUUGUCCUGGAAGGGCCUCCACCUUCUGACACCCCCCUUGAUUCCAGCACCUCCCAGCUCAGCCCUUCCCCCUUGUCCCACCACCAGGACCCAGGGGUUCAGUCCUCAUCUUCCCUGUCUUCCUUGAGGGGCUCUUGGAUGGGAGGCUCCCCCGCUCCUCCUCAUCCAGCCAGGCCGUGAUACUUGAAUAUGGACCAUGUUGAGACACAGGUCAACUGAGGUGUCCCACCCCCAGCCACUGCAGGAAGCUCUAUGGUCCGCAGGCCCCACACUUGGCUUCUGGAAGGAGACAAAGGUCUUGAGGGCUGCAUGCAGCCCUUGGACUGUGCAUUGGAGCACCCCAACUUAGAGGAACUAGACAAGCAUGUCUGAUUUCACCCUUGCUUUUUCAUAUUUGCUUCUGCUAUUAGACAACAUAGGGAGAUCUAUGGAGUAGUC